UACAGAGGGUGCGAGCGUUACUCGGAAUUACUGGGCGUAAAGCGCGCGUAGGCGGCUUUUCAAGUCGAUUGUGAAAUCCCCGGGCUUAACCUGGGAACUGCAUUUGUGACUGCAUCGCUGGAGUGCGGCAGAGGGGGAUGGAAUUCCGCGUGUAGCAGUGAAAUGCGUAGAUAUGCGGAGGAACACCGAUGGCGAAGGCAAUCCCCUGGGCCUGCACUGACGCUCAUGCACGAAAGCGUGGGGAGCAAACAGG
rnacentral:rRNA from 1 species